UAGAGUUUGAUCAUGGCUCAGAUUGAACGCUGGCGGCAGGCCUAACACACGCAAGUCGAGCGGAUGAGGGGAGCUUGCUUCCUGAUUCAGCGGCGGACGGGUGAGUAAUGCCUAGGAAUCUGCCCGAUAGUGGGGGACAACGUUUCGAAAGGAACGCUAAUACCGCAUACGUCCUACGGGAGAAAGUGGGGGAUCUUCGGACCUCACGCUAUCGGAUGAGCCUAGGUCGGAUUAGCUAGUUGGUGGGGUAACGGCUCACCAAGGCGACGAUCCGUAACUGGUCUGAGAGGAUGAUCAGUCACACUGGAACUGAGACACGGUCCAGACUCCUACGGGAGGCAGCAGUGGGGAAUAUUGGACAAUGGGCGAAAGCCUGAUCCAGCCAUGCCGCGUGUGUGAAGAAGGUCUUCGGAUUGUAAAGCACUUUAAGUUGGGAGGAAGAGCUGUCGGUUAAUACCCUGCAGUUUUGACGUUACCAACAGAAUAAGCACCGGCUAACUUCGUGCCAGCAGCCGCGGUAAUACGAAGGGUGCAAGCGUUAAUCGGAAUUACUGGGCGUAAAGCGCGCGUAGGUGGUUCAGCAAGUUGGAUGUGAAAGCCCCGGGCUCAACCUGGGAACUGCAUCCA
rnacentral:rRNA from 1 species